AUUUUCUGGUUUCUUUUAAGACUGAAUAAAUCUUUUGCCUUUUUCUAAAGAUUUCUGUGGAGUGCAACAACCAUAUGUUUCACUCAAUUUUUUGAGAAUUGACGCUUAUCAGGUU